rnacentral:rRNA from 1 species
CCCUUAGAUGUUCUGGGCCGCACGCGCGCUACACUGAUGCAUUCAACGAGUCUAAAACCUGGUCUGAUAGGGCUGGGUAAUCUUUUGAAUGUGCAUCGUGAUUGGGAUAGAUGAUUGCAAUUCUUCAUCUUCAACGAGGAAUGCCUAGUAAACGCAAGUCAUCAGCUUGCAUUGAUUACGUCCCUGCCCUUUGUACACACCGCCCGUCGCUCCUACCGAUUGAAUGUUCCGAUGAAUACCAUGGACUGAGAGCAUGAAUGGGUUCGCCUAUUUCUGCUUCUCGGGAAGUGGAGUAAAUCUUAACAUUUAGAGGAAGGAGAAGUCGUAACA